CAGUAGCCGCAGUAAUACGAAGGGGGCUAGCGUUGUUCGGAAUUACUGGGCGUAAAGCGCACGUAGGCGGAUAUUUAAGUCAGGGGUGAAAUCCCGCAGCUCAACUGCGGAACUGCCUUUGAUACUGGGUAUCUUGAGUAUGGAAGAGGUUAGUGGAAUUGCGAGUGUAGAGGUGAAAUUCGUAGAUAUUCGCAGGAACACCAGUGGCGAAGGCGGCUAACUGGUCCAUAAUUGACGCUGAGGUGCGAAAGCGUGGGGAGCAAACAGGAUUAGAUACCCGCGUAGUCCCUGUCUCUUAUAC
rnacentral:rRNA from 1 species